rnacentral:rRNA from 1 species
ACGUUAGCGGCGGACGGGUGAGUAACACGUGGGUAACCUACCUAUAAGACUGGGAUAACUUAGGGAAACCGGAGCUAAUACCGGAUAAUAUUUCGAACCGCAUGGUUCGAUAGUGAAAGAUGGUUUUGCUAUCACUUAUAGAUGGACCCGCGCCGUAUUAGCUAGUUGGUAAGGUAACGGCUUACCAAGGCGACGAUACGUAGCCGACCUGAGAGGGUGAUCGGCCACACUGGAACUGAGACACGGUCCAGACUCCUACGGGAGGCAGCAGUA